AUGCAGUCGCACGGACCUUUCGGGGUGAGUGGCGGACGGGUGAGUAACGCGUAGGGUUCUAUCCAUGGGUGGGGGAUAACACCGGGAAACUGGUGCUAAUACCGCAUGAUACCUGAGGGUCAAAGGCGCAAGUCGCCUGUGGAGGAGCCUGCGUUCGAUUAGCUUGUUGGUGGGGUAAAGGCCUACCAAGGCGAUGAUCGAUAGCUGGUCUGAGAGGAUGAUCAGCCACACUGGGACUGAGACACGGCCCAGACUCCUACGGGAGGCAGCAGUGGGGAAUAUUGGACAAUGGGCGAAAGCCUGAUCCAGCAAUGCCGCGUGUGUGAAGAAGGUCUUCGGAUUGUAAAGCACUUUCGACGGGGACGAUGAUGACGGUACCCGUAGAAGAAGCCCCGGCUAACUUCGUGCCAGCAGCCGCGGUAAUACGAAGGGGGCUAGCGUUGCUCGGAAUGACUGGGCGUAAAGGGCGCGUAGGCGGUUCAUACAGUCAGAUGUGAAAUUCCAGGGCUUAACCUUGGGGCUGCAUUUGAUACGUAUGGACUAGAGUGUGAGAGAGGGUUGUGGAAUUCCCAGUGUAGAGGUGAAAUUCGUAGAUAUUGGGAAGAACACCGGUGGCGAAGGCGGCAACCUGGCUCAUUACUGACGCUGAGGCGCGAAAGCGUGGGGAGCAAACAGGAUUAGAUACC
rnacentral:rRNA from 1 species